GCAUAUCAUAGCGGAGGAAAAGAAACCAACAGGGAUUGCCCUAGUAACGGCGAGUGAAGCGGCAACAGCUCAAAUUUGAAAUCUGGCUCUUUUAGAGUCCGAGUUGUAAUUUGCAGAGGGCGCUUUGGCUUUGGCAGCGGUCCAAGUUCCUUGGAACAGGACGUCACAGAGGGUGAGAAUCCCGUACGUGGUCGCUAGCUAUUGCCGUGUAAAGCCCCUUCGACGAGUCGAGUUGUUUGGGAAUGCAGCUCUAAAUGGGAGGUAAAUUUCUUCUAAAGCUAAAUAUUGGCCAGAGACCGAUAGCGCACAAGUAGAGUGAUCGAAAGAUGAAAAGCACUUUGGAAAGAGAGUCAAACAGCACGUGAAAUUGUUGAAAGGGAAGCGCUUGCAGCCAGACUUGCUUGCAGUUGCUCAUCCGGGCUUUUGCCCGGUGCACUCUUCUGCAGGCAGGCCAGCAUCAGUUUGGGCGGUGGGAUAAAGGUCUCUGACACGUUCCUUCCUUCGGGUUGGCCAUAUAGGGGAGACGUCAUACCACCAGCCUGGACUGAGGUCCGCGCAUCUGCUAGGAUGCUGGCGUAAUGGCUGUAAGCGGCCCGUCUUGAAACACGGACCAAGGAGUCUAACAUCUAUGCGAGUGUUUGGGUGUCAAGCCCGAGCGCGUAAUGAAAGUGAACGGAGGUGGGAACCCGCAAGGGUGCACCAUCGACCGAUCCUGAAGUUUACGGAAGGAUUUGAGUAAGAGCAUGGCUGUUGGGACCCGAAAGAUGGUGAACUAUGCUUGAAUAGGGUGAAGCCAGAGGAAACUCUGGUGGAGGCUCGCAGCGGUUCUGACGUGCAAAUCGAUCGUCAAAUUUGGGCAUAGGGGCGAAAGACUAAUCGAACUAUCUAGUAGCUAGUUCUGCGAG
rnacentral:rRNA from 1 species